CAUGGACAUGCACAAAGAACAUGCCCAGCUGCAAUUACAUCACCUCACUGGACCUAACCAAUGAACACUGACUUUCAUUGGGUGUAACCACUCACCAGUGUAUACCACCAACUUGAAACAGUAUUUAAAUCUCUGGUCCUGCCACAUUGAGGAUUUUUGCUCCAAGGACAUCGUUGAGACUGGCUGCCUUGCUGUCUGUCCCUGGACUGACUCUACCAUUCCUUGAUCUCCAGCCAUCGGCUGGAGAAAACCGCCAGACAAAGAAAAUGUCUGCUCUUUGGCAAAGAGAAGUCACGUGGCAUUGGAGAGGCCAGAAGAGGAAGGAAUGGCUAGCCAUAACCCAUCCUUGGAAAUUCUAUCACUGGUAGUUCUAUCUAACAGCCUUACCACAUGAAGACUUGCUCAGCCUCCUGGCAGAAGGUUAUCAACUGUAUGUUAGGUAAAAUACACCUACCACUGAUGAGUUUCAGGAAGGAGAAACACAGACGCCAGAUCAACGAUGGAAAAAGAGUUCUAUAACUGAGAUAUGAACAGGAGUAAAAGAAGAUAGCCAAAAAAUAAUCUGGAACAAAUAAAGGUUUACCUUUGUUGUCUUUAAAAUUUUGCAUGACUUCAAAUACUCUGUGUUACUCACUGAAAAUAAACAAUCUAAUUCUGUCUUUGCUAA